UGCAAGUUUAAAAAAUGUUUAUUUCCGGUGUGAUUCAGUUCUAGAAACAUAAGAAAGUGUACAUUUUCAUUUAUUUUCUGUCGUCAAUUUUAGCCACGGUAACGUGUAAGCGAUUGUUGAAAAUUAAUUUUACUUUAUGUUCGUUCGGAGCCGGUCGUAAACCGCGUUCUAAUUGCGUACGAUCUCCUUUUGGAGAGGUUUCACGAGGUGCUUCGUCAUAGAUAGUGGAAGGUUUGCGCGGCCGGCGACUGCGGAGCCGUGUUUUCCUGGUGCCAGCUUCAGUGAAGCCAGGAUCAACGAUUCAUCCAGUCUGUCAGCUCUCGUCCAGUGGGGCGUUACCGUUUUAUAUGACUUUAGCAAGAUAUAUAGAGACAUCAGUACAGUGCGAGGAGAGCGGUCGGUGCGGCGCGACGAGGAGAGCGGCCGGCUGCCGUCGAGCGUGCAUGACUCACACAACACUUAGCACUACUGCUCGCAGGUACAGUUACUGUCCGACCCGCGUCUGGGACUAU